rnacentral:rRNA from 1 species
AAUCCAUAGGUUAAUGAGGCGAACCGGGGGAACUGAAACAUCUAAGUACCCCGAGGAAAAGAAAUCAACCGAGAUUCCCCCAGUAGCGGCGAGCGAACGGGGAGGAGCCCAGAGCCUGAAUCAGCAUGUGUGUUAGUGGAAGCGUCUGGAAAGGCGCGCGAUACAGGGUGACAGCCCCGUACACAAAAGCGCAUGUGCUGUGAGCUCGAUGAGUAGGGCGGGACACGUGGUAUCCUGUCUGAAUAUGGGGGGACCAUCCUCCAAGGCUAAAUACUCCUGACUGACCGAUAGUGAACCAGUACCGUGAGGGAAAGGCGAAAAGAACCCCGGCGAGGGGAGUGAAAAAGAACCUGAAACCGUGUACGUACAAGCAGUGGGAGCACCCUUUGGGUGUGACUGCGUACCUUUUGUAUAAUGGGUCAGCGACUUAUAUUCUGUAGCAAGGUUAACCGAAUAGGGGAGCCGGAGGGAAACCGAGUCUUAACCGGGCGUUAAGUUGCAGGGUAUAGACCCGAAACCCGGUGAUCUAGCCAUGGGCAGGUUGAAGGUUGGGUAACACUAACUGGAGGACCGAACCGACUAAUGUUGAAAAAUUAGCGGAUGACCUGUGGCUGGGGGUGAAAGGCCAAUCAAACCGGGAGAUAGCUGGUUCUCCCCGAAAGCUAUUUAGGUAGCGCCUCGUGAAUUCAUCUCCGGGGGUAGAGCACUGUUUCGGCUAGGGGGCCAUCCCGGCUUACCAACCCGAUGCAAACUGCGAAUACCGGAGAAUGUUAUCACGGGAGACACACGGCGGGUGCUAACGUCCGUCGUGAAGAGGGAAACAACCCAGACCGCCAGCUAAGGUCCCAAAGUCAUGGUUAAGUGGGAAACGAUGUGGGAAGGCCCAGACAGCCAGGAUGUUGGCUUAGAAGCAGCCAUCAUUUAAAGAAAGCGUAAUAGCUCACUGGUCGAGUCGGCCUGCGCGGAAGAUGUAACGGGGCUAAACCAUGCACCGAAGCUGCGGCAGCGACACUGUGUGUUGUUGGGUAGGGGAGCGUUCUGUAAGCCUGUGAAGGUGUGUCGUGAGGCAUGCUGGAGGUAUCAGAAGUGCGAAUGCUGACAUAAGUAACGAUAAAGCGGGUGAAAAGCCCGCUCGCCGGAAGACCAAGGGUUCCUGUCCAACGUUAAUCGGGGCAGGGUGAGUCGACCCCUAAGGCGAGGCCGAAAGGCGUAGUCGAUGGGAAACGGGUUAAUAUUCCCGUACUUGGUGUUACUGCGAAGGGGGGACGGAGAAGGCUAUGUUGGCCGGGCGACGGUUGUCCCGGUUUAAGUGUGUAGGUGUGUGUUCCAGGUAAAUCCGGUUCACUUUAACACUGAGGCGUGACGACGAGGCACUACGGUGCUGAAGCAACAAAUGCCCUGCUUCCAGGAAAAGCCUCUAAGCAUCAGGUAACAUCAAAUCGUACCCCAAACCGACACAGGUGGUCAGGUAGAGAAUACCAAGGCGCUUGAGAGAACUCGGGUGAAGGAACUAGGCAAAAUGGUGCCGUAACUUCGGGAGAAGGCACGCUGACACGUAGGUGAAGUGAUUUACUCAUGGAGCUGAAGUCAGUCGAAGAUACCAGCUGGCUGCAACUGUUUAUUAAAAACACAGCACUGUGCAAACACGAAAGUGGACGUAUACGGUGUGACGCCUGCCCGGUGCCGGAAGGUUAAUUGAUGGGGUCAGCGCAAGCGAAGCUCCUGAUCGAAGCCCCGGUAAACGGCGGCCGUAACUAUAACGGUCCUAAGGUAGCGAAAUUCCUUGUCGGGUAAGUUCCGACCUGCACGAAUGGCGUAAUGAUGGCCAGGCUGUCUCCACCCGAGACUCAGUGAAAUUGAACUCGCUGUGAAGAUGCAGUGUACCCGCGGCAAGACGGAAAGACCCCGUGAACCUUUACUAUAGCUUGACACUGAACAUUGAGCCUUGAUGUGUAGGAUAGGUGGGAGGCUUUGAAGUGUGGACGCCAGUCUGCAUGGAGCCGACCUUGAAAUACCACCCUUUAAUGUUUGAUGUUCUAACGUGGACCCGUUACCCGGGUUGCGGACAGUGUCUGGUGGGUAGUUUGACUGGGGCGGUCUCCUCCUAAAGAGUAACGGAGGAGCACGAAGGUUGGCUAAUCCUGGUCGGACAUCAGGAGGUUAGUGCAAUGGCAUAAGCCAGCUUGACUGCGAGCGUGACGGCGCGAGCAGGUGCGAAAGCAGGUCAUAGUGAUCCGGUGGUUCUGAAUGGAAGGGCCAUCGCUCAACGGAUAAAAGGUACUCCGGGGAUAACAGGCUGAUACCGCCCAAGAGUUCAUAUCGACGGCGGUGUUUGGCACCUCGAUGUCGGCUCAUCACAUCCUGGGGCUGAAGUAGGUCCCAAGGGUAUGGCUGUUCGCCAUUUAAAGUGGUACGCGAGCUGGGUUUAGAACGUCGUGAGACAGUUCGGUCCCUAUCUGCCGUGGGCGCUGGAGAACUGAGGGGGGCUGCUCCUAGUACGAGAGGACCGGAGUGGACGCAUCACUGGUGUUCGGGUUGUCAUGCCAAUGGCACUGCCCGGUAGCUAAAUGCGGAAGAGAUAAGUGCUGAAAGCAUCUAAGCACGAAACUUGCCCCGAG